UACGGGGGGGGCAAGCGUUGUUCGGAAUUACUGGGCGUAAAGGGCUCGUAGGCGGCCAACUAAGUCAUACGUGAAAUCCCUCGGCUUAACCGGGGAACUGCGUCUGAUACUGGAUGGCUUGAGUUCGGGAGAGGGAUGCGGAAUUCCAGGUGUAGCGGUGAAAUGCGUAGAUAUCUGGAGGAACACCGGUGGCGAAGGCGGCAUCCUGGACCAAUUCUGACACUGAGGAGCGAAAGCCAGGGAGCAAAGCGGG
rnacentral:rRNA from 1 species